UACGUAGGGUGCGAGCGUUAAUCGGAAUUACUGGGCGUAAAGUGUGCGCAGGCGGCCGAGCAAGUCGAGUGUGAAGGCCCCGAGCUUAACUUGGGAACUGCGCUCGAAACUACUUGGCUAGAGUGUGGCAGAGGGAGGUGGAAUUCCACGUGUAGCGGUGAAAUGCGUAGAGAUGUGGAGGAACACCGAUGGCGAAGGCAGCCUCCUGGGCCAACACUGACGCUCAUGCACGAAAGCGUGGGGAGCAAACAGG
rnacentral:rRNA from 1 species